rnacentral:rRNA from 1 species
ACAGGAUCCGCCAGAGAACUACAGGCAAAAGCCAGAAACUCCAAAGACUUGACGGUAUCCUAACACCCUAGAGGAGCCUGUCCUCUAAUCGACACUCCACGCUAUACCUCACCCCCUUUAGUCCAACCAGCCUAUAUACCGCCGUCGAAAGCCCACCUUGCAAAAGCGCCCACGUGGGCAAACCAGUGGCCCUCCUCCCUAACACGUCAGGUCAAGGUGUAGCUUAUAAGGGGGGAAGCGAUGGGCUACACUCUCCACCCUUGAGCCCUACAAGCAAAAUGAAAAACGGCCCAAAGAAGGAUUUAGCAGUAAAUAUGACCAGCACUAUCAACUUGAAGCCUGCCCUAGGAUGCGUACAC